AGGUAAGCUACUAAGAGCGAAUGGUGGAUGCCUUGACUGGUAAAGGCGAUGAAGGACGUACUAGACUGCGAUAAGCUACGGGGAGCUGUCAAGAAGCUUUGAUCCGUAGAUUUCCGAAUGGGGCAACCCAAUGUAUAGAGAUAUACAUUACCUAUAUAGGAGCGAACGAGGGGAAUUGAAACAUCUUAGUACCCUCAGGAAAAGAAAUCAAUAGAGAUUGCGUCAGUAGCGGCGAGCGAAAGCGCAAGAGGGCAAACCCAGUGCUUGCACUGGGGGUUGUAGGACUGCAAUGUGCAAGAGGUAAGUUUAGCAGAACAUUCUGGAAAGUAUAACCAUAGAGGGUGAUAGUCCCGUAUGCGAAAAACAAACCUUAGCUAGCAGUAUCCUGAGUAGGGCGGGACACGAGGAAUCCUGUCUGAAUCCGGGUCGACCACGAUCCAACCCUAAAUACUAAUACCAGAUCGAUAGUGCACAAGUACCGUGAGGGAAAGGUGAAAAGAACUGAGGUGAUCAGAGUGAAAUAGAACCUGAAACCAUUUGCUUACAAUCAUUCAGAGCCUUAUGUAGCAAUACAGGGUGAUGGACUGCCUUUUGCAUAAUGAGCCUGCGAGUUGUGGUGUCUGGCAAGGUUAAGCAAACGCGAAGCCGUAGCGAAAGCGAGUCUGAAUAGGGCGCUUAGUCAGAUGCUGCAGACCCGAAACGAAGUGAUCUAUCCAUGAGCAAGUUGAAGCUAGUGUAAGAACUAGUGGAGGACUGAACCCAUAGGCGUUGAAAAGCCCCGGGAUGACUUGUGGAUAGGGGUGAAAGGCCAAUCAAACUUCGUGAUAGCUGGUUCUCUCCGAAAUAUAUUUAGGUAUAGCGUUGUGUCGUAAUAUAAGGGGGUAGAGCACUGAAUGGGCUAGGGCAUACACCAAUGUACCAAACCCUAUCAAACUCCGAAUACCUUAUAUGUAAUCACAGCAGUCAGGCGGCGAGUGAUAAAAUCCGUCGUCAAGAGGGAAACAACCCAGACUACCAGCUAAGGUCCCUAAAUCUUACUUAAGUGGAAAACGAUGUGAAGUUACUUAAACAACCAGGAGGUUGGCUUAGAAGCAGCCAUCCUUUAAAGAAAGCGUAAUAGCUCACUGGUCUAGUGAUUUUGCGCGGAAAAUAUAACGGGGCUAAAGUAAGUACCGAAGCUGUAGACUUAGUUUACUAAGUGGUAGGAGAGCGUUCUAUUUGCGUCGAAGGUAUACCGGUAAGGAGUGCUGGAGCGAAUAGAAGUGAGCAUGCAGGCAUGAGUAGCGAUAAUUAAUGUGAGAAUCAUUAACGCCGUAAACCCAAGGUUUCCUACGCGAUGCUCGUCAUCGUAGGGUUAGUCGGGUCCUAAGUCGAGUCCGAAAGGGGUAGACGAUGGCAAAUUGGUUAAUAUUCCAAUACCAACAUUAGUGUGCGAUGGAAGGACGCUUAGGGCUAAGGGGGCUAGCGGAUGGAAGUGCUAGUCUAAGGUCGUAGGAGGUUAUACAGGCAAAUCCGUAUAACAAUACUCCGAGAACUGAAAGGCUUUUUGAAGUCUUCGGAUGGAUAGAAGAACCCCUGAUGCCGUCGAGCCAAGAAAAGUUUCUAAGUUUAGCUAAUGUUGCCCGUACCGUAAACCGACACAGGUGGGUGGGAUGAGUAUUCUAAGGCGCGUGGAAGAACUCUCUUUAAGGAACUCUGCAAAAUAGCACCGUAUCUUCGGUAUAAGGUGUGGUUAGCUUUGUAU
rnacentral:rRNA from 1 species